rnacentral:rRNA from 1 species
GAUGAACGCUGGCGGCGUGCCUAAUACAUGCAAGUCGAGCGAACAGGCGAGGAGCUUGCUCCUCUGACGUUAGCGGCGGACGGGUGAGUAACACGUGGAUAACCUACCUAUAAGACUGGGAUAACUUCGGGAAACCGGAGCUAAUACCGGAUAAUAUAUUGAACCGCAUGGUUCAAUAGUGAAAGACGGUUUUGCUGUCACUUAUAGAUGGAUCCGCGCCGCAUUAGCUAGUUGGUAAGGUAACAGCUUACCAAGGCAACGAUGCGUAGCCGACCUGAGAGGGUGGUCGGCCACACUGGAACUGAGACACGGUCCAGACUCCUACGGGAGGCAGCAGUAGGGAAUCUUCCGCAAUGGGCGAAAGCCUGACGGAGCAACGCCGCGUGAGUGAUGAAGGUCUUCGGAUCGUAAAACUCUGUUAUUAGGGAAGAACAAAUGUGUAAGUAACUAUGCACGUCUUGACGGUACCUAAUCAGAAAGCCACGGCUAACUACGUG